rnacentral:lncRNA from 1 species
AAGAAGAAGAAGAAGAGGAAGAGGAAGAGGAAGAGGAAGAGGAAGAGGAAGAGGAGGAGGAGGAGGAGGUGUAGGAGGAGGUGUAGGAGGAGAUUUGGAGGAGGAGAAGAAGGAGAAGAAGAAGAAGAAGAAGAAGAAGAGGAAGAGGAAGAGGAAGAAGAAGAGGAAGAAGAAGAAGACAUCCUUACAGAUGUCUUUUAGAAAAGACGAGAUAAUAUUGGAUUGCAGGGGUUCUGCUCAGACACAUAGCCACUUUCUGAAAAGAAGAAAAGAGAAGAAAAGAGAGAGGGUAUCAAGUUAUGUCUUCCUGUGGGAAGUGCCCUUGUCCCACUUUCAGUGGCUUCUGCUGGGCUCUUGUCCCAGGAUGUCCCUCCAUUUCUCUGUCUCUUCUUGUCCAUCGUUGAAUAUUCAGGACCAGAUUCAUCCAAAGGGACCUUUGGAGAGAGGCAGCUUUCACAUCUGUGAGACUGUACUGCUGGGAUUGCUCUGGAACCUGUUGAAGGAUGAGGCGAAACAGCCAGACAGAGCCACGAGGAACUGAGCGUCGAAGAGCAAAGAGAUGUUUCUGG